rnacentral:misc_RNA from 1 species
AACGCACAUUGCGCCCCCUGGUAUUCCGGGGGGCAUGCCUGUCCGAGCGUCAUUGCUGCCCAUCAAGCCCGGCUUGUGUGUUGGGCCGCCGUCCCCCCUUCUCUCGGGGGGACGGGCCCGAAAGGCAGCGGCGGCACCGCGUCCGGUCCUCGAGCGUAUGGGGCUCUGUCACCCGCUCUGGAGGCCCGGCCGGCGCCCGCCGACCCCCAACCUUGUAUAACCAGGUUGACCUCGGAUCAGGUAGGGAUACCCGCUGAACUUAA